rnacentral:rRNA from 1 species
UACGGAGGGGGCUAGCGUUGUUCGGAAUUACUGGGCGUAAAGCGCGCGUAGGCGGCUUUGUAAGUUAGAGGUGAAAGCCCGGGGCUCAACUCCGGAACUGCCUUUAAGACUGCAUCGCUUGAAUCCGGGAGAGGUGAGUGGAAUUCCGAGUGUAGAGGUGAAAUUCGUAGAUAUUCGGAAGAACACCAGUGGCGAAGGCGGCUCACUGGACCGGUAUUGACGUUGAGGUGCGAAAGCGUGGGGAGCAAACAGG